ensembl:snRNA U6 U6 spliceosomal RNA
UUGCUUUGACAGCACAUACACUAAAAUUGGAAUGAUACAGAGAAGAUUAGCAUGGCCCCUUGCAAGGAUGACACACACAUCUAUGAAACAAUCCCUAUUUUU